GGGGUGGUAGUAAAGUAAUUACGUUUGGUUUCGGCCCACAAGGAGGGAUUUUUCCCCCACCCCU
rnacentral:tRNA from 1 species